UACGGGGGGGGCAAGCGUUGUUCGGAUUUACUGGGCGUAAAGGGCGCGUAGGCGGUCAGCACAAGUCAGUUGUGAAAUCUCCGGGCUUAACUCGGAAAGGUCAACUGAUACUGUGCGACUAGAGUGCAGAAGGGGCAACUGGAAUUCUCGGUGUAGCGGUGAAAUGCGUAGAUAUCGAGAGGAACACCUGCGGCGAAGGCGGGUUGCUGGGCUGACACUGACGCUGAUGCGCGAAAGCCAGGGGAGCGAACAGG
rnacentral:rRNA from 1 species